rnacentral:sRNA from 1 species
GCCAUUAUUGCCGCCAUUUCAACGCUGGUGGCUUAGCAGGAUAGUCGUUGCCAAAGCCGCCUGAGAGGCGGCUUUG